AGGGUUUGAUCAUGGCUCAGAACGUACGCUGGCGGCACGCCUAACACAUGCAAGUCGAACGAAGUAGCAAUACUUAGUGGCAGACGGGUGAGUAACAUGUGGGUAUCUGCCCUUUGGCCUGGAAUAACACGAGGAAACUUGUGCUAAUACCGGAUAAGUCUUUACGGAGAAAGCUUUAUGCACCAUUGGAUGAGCCCGCACUUGAUUAGUUUGUUGGUGGGGUAAUGGCCUACCAAGACUGUGAUCAAUAGCUGAUUUGAGAGGAUGAUCAGCCACAUUGGGACUGAGACACGGCCCAAACUCCUACGGGAGGCAGCAGUGGGGAAUCUUGCACAAUGGAGGAAACUCUGAUGCAGCGAUGCCGCGUGAGUGAAGAAGGCCCUUGGGUUGUAAAGCUCUUUCGUCGGGGAAGAAAAUGACUGUACCCGAAUAAGAAGGUCCGGCUAACUUCGUGCCAGCAGCCGCGGUAAUACGAAGGGACCUAGCGUAGUUCGGAAUUACUGGGCUUAAAGAGUUCGUAGGUGGUUGAAAAAGUUAGUGGUGAAAUCCCAGAGCUUAACUCUGGAACUGCCAUUAAAACUUUUCAGCUAGAGUAUGAUAGAGGAAAGCAGAAUUUCUAGUGUAGAGGUGAAAUUCGUAGAUAUUAGAAAGAAUACCAAUUGCGAAGGCAGCUUUCUGGAUCAUUACUGACACUGAGGAACGAAAGCAUGGGUAGCGAAGAGGAUUAGAUACCCUCGUAGUCCAUGCCGUAAACGAUGUGUGUUAGACGUUGGAAAUUUAUUUUCAGUGUCGCAGCGAAAGCGAUAAACACACCGCCUGGGGAGUACGACCGCAAGGUUAAAACUCAAAUGAAUUGACGGGGACCCGCACAAGUAGUGGAGCAUGUGGUUUAAUUCGAAGAUACGCGCAGAACCUUACCAACACUUGACAUGUUCGUCGCGACUCUAAGAGAUUAGAGUUUUCGGUUCGGCCGGACGAAACACAGGUGCUGCAUGGCUGUCGUCAGCUCGUGUCGUGAGAUGUUGGGUUAAGUCCCGCAACGAGCGCAACCCUCACUUUUAGUUGCCAUCAUUAAGUUGGGCACUCUGAAAGAACUGCCAGUGAUAAGCUGGAGGAAGGUGGGGAUGACGUCAAGUCCUCAUGGCCCUUACGUGUUGGGCUACACACGUGCUACAAUGGUAUCUACAACAGGAAGCAAGACUGCGAGGUCAAGCAAAUCCUUAAAAGAUACCUCAGUUCGGAUUGCACUCUGCAACUCGAGUGCAUGAAGCUGGAAUUACUAGUAAUCGUGGAUCAGCGUGCCACGGUGAAUGCGUUCCCGGGUCUUGUACACACCGCCCGUCACACCAUGGGAGUUGGUUCUACCUUAAGGCAAGGUUUCAAACCCUUGACCACGGUAUAGUCAGCGACUGGGGUGAAGUCGUAACAAGGUAGCCG
rnacentral:rRNA from 1 species